GGCUGGAUCGGUGACAGGUGCUGCAUGGCUGUCGUCAGCUCGUGUCGUGAGAUGUUGGGUUAAGUCCCGCAACGAGCGCAACCCUUGUCCUUAGUUGCCACCAUUCAGUUGGGCACUCUAAGGAGACUGCCGGUGUUAAACCGGAGGAAGGUGGGGAUGACGUCAAGUCCUCAUGGCCCUUAUAUCCAGGGCUACACACGUGCUACAAUGGCCGGUACAAAGGGUCGCCAACCCGCGAGGGGGAGCCAAUCCCAUAAAGCCAUUCGUAGUCCGGAUCGCAGUCUGCAACUCGACUGCGUGAAGUCGGAAUCGCUAGUAAUCGUGGAUCAGAAUGUCACGGUGAAUACGUUCCCGGGUCUU
rnacentral:rRNA from 1 species